UUGAUGUUGAUUUAGUUCUGUAGAAGAAUAAUCUUUUGGACAAGAGAACAUUGAGCAAGGUUCUAUGCACACCUGUUUGUAGAUCGCGGUGCGGGCAAAUGAUCAGUUUGUUUGAGUUGUCAGCAAAGAGAUAAGAAUUCUUAUAUACCGACCUGCAUGAUAUAGAUAUUUUUGUACCUAUAUAUGUAUGUUAUACUAAUGAUCCAGAUAAGUAAGAAGCAAAAAUAGUUUUAUGAUGGUGUUUGUAUUAAAUCAUAUUUUGAUCAAAUGUGCUUAUGAUUAAUAGUAUGAUGGACGUAUAUACGAGUAUAACUUAUACUUGCAUAAUUGGACUAAUGGAUGUGGUGCUCUGGACUAAUCAUAUUAUAUUGAUUCAUCACAUGCAAAAAAUGUGACCAUAGUUAGUUUUAAGCCGAUAAUAAAAAGAAAUUGACGUGUGAAUAUGAACUUGAUUGAAUGAAUAAGGACUUUGGGCUUAUCUCGUUAUCAUCGGUUUUGCCAUCACAUACUGGAAAUGUGAUACUGUGGCAAGCCCCGUCACAGGCUGAAAAUGUGAUACUUUGGCAGGCCCUGGUAAAGGCUAGAAAUGCAAUAUCUUGGCAGGCUCCAUCAUAGGCUGAAAAUGCGAUACUAUUAGUUGUCCUAUCACAGGCUGAAAAUGUGAAACUAUUGGUUGCGCCGUCACGAGCUAGAAACGCGACCGAAAUUUGGCUCAAAGUCGAAAAGAUAAUUGAACCGGAUAAAGUUAAAAAAGAAUGGAAU
rnacentral:lncRNA from 1 species